rnacentral:rRNA from 1 species
CAGACGUGAGUACCCGCUG